CCCCCCUCCACUAGCCUCCAGCCCCAGUCCCCCCCCCCCUCCACUAGCCUCUAGCCCCAUCCCGCCACCCUCCCCUCCCUAGUGAGAGGAGGGGCAGUUGGGGGGUCUUCCCACUCCCAUCCCAGUCCGUGUCUAUGCACCUCCCCCCCCCCCCCCCCCCGCGGGGUGCCGGGUGCCGGGUGCCGGGUGCCGUCGUUGGUGGGACCGGAAUAAUACAAGUAAAGAAUGGAUGCGUGAGGAGCUGAUGUGUGCGGGGCGUGUUCAGGACCGAGGAGGAGGCGGUGGGGGUUCCAGUGAGGGUGGAGUGGGGGUUUGGUUCCCCCAGCAUUAGCUCAGCCACACAGGGAGCCACACAUGAAGCCCUGACCCAUCAGCCUGGGCCUGGCGAGGUCAGCAGCGCCGUCUCAUCUGGGUGUGUGGGGAGCGAUGGUGUUCCUCCCCCUACUGCUACUGUGCACCGCCCUGGGUCAUGGGAAGGCCACACGCUGUGUGAAUACGUGCACAACCAUCCAAUUAAGCGCACACUCCCACAAUAUAUAUAUUUUUUACUGUCUUCGGUGAUUUCCCACACAGGCUCAUAGCAGAGCAUUAGUAGGCCCCCACAAAGAGAGAGGAGAGUCCCCACGGCCAUCUCCAUUUUUUAAUGAGUUCCUUAAGUUCUCUCUGCACUCCCAAUCGGUCAUUUGGAAUGUAAGGCUAGAAUCAACCAUCGCAUCCUCCUCAUCCUCCUCAUCCUCCUCAUCAUCUUCAUCAUCUUCACUGACCCAUGUGGUACCACGGCGAGGUCGGUCUCUCUAUCCGCGAUGCCCGGCCCUGUCCUCAUACCAAGCCAAAGAUACGCACGCCGCGCUUCAGACCAUGUUGUUGACGUUGUUGUUGACGUUGUCCUCCUCCUGUACCGCGGAAACCAUUACCACUGUGGCCUAACUCUACAACUGUGCAAUCAUGACUGUGUAGCAUUAGCCUGUUCCCUUGCUGUAAUAUACUGUAUAUAUAGAGAGAAAUAAUGUAUAACUGUAUAUAGCACAAAUAAAUCUGUGCACUGCUUAUUCUCA